GGAAUUUUGCGCAAUGGGCGAAAGCCUGACGCAGCAACGCCGCGUGAUUGAAUAAGCCCUUCGGGGUGUAAAGAUCUGUCAGUAGGGACGAAACUUGACGGUACCUACAGAGGAAGCAUCGGCUAACUCCGUGCCAGCAGCCGCGGUAAUACGGGGGAUGCGAGCGUUGUCCGGAAUCAUUGGGCGUAAAGAGUUCGUAGGUGGUAUGUUAAGUCAGGUGUUAAAGGCGUAGGCUCAACUUACGUAGGGCACUUGAUACUGGCAGACUUGAAUGCGGUAGAGGUAAAGGGAAUUCCUGGUGUAGCGGUGAAAUGCGUAGAUAUCAGGAGGAACAUCGGUGGCGUAAGCGCUUUACUGGGCCGUAAUUGACACUGAGGAACGAAAGCCGGGGUAGCAAAUG
rnacentral:rRNA from 1 species